rnacentral:rRNA from 1 species
AUGAGCCACCUCCAACGCGGCGAGGGUGGCGCCGGCCGCCGCUGCACAGCGCGUCUCCGUUACCAGAUCCAUGCGAGCGACGAGGGAUCCGGACCGGCUCGCUCACGCACCACGCGCCUCCGUCCCCAAAUAAACACCCAUGAGGAUGGCGCCGGAGUGACCUGCAACCGCCGGAGCGGUAAGCGCCACCAUCGGCGCGGUAAGGGCCUCCGCCCCCAGAACCACGCGAGCGAGGAGGGCGACGACACCUCACUGGAGCCGCCUGCCUCCCUGCCGGACAGCGAAGAUAUGCUCCGGGAGAUUCUCCUCCGCCUCCCCCUGGACCUAUACUCUCUCCCCCGCGCCUCCGCCGUGUGCAAGCAGUGGCGAGGCAUCCUCGCCGACCCCAAGUUCCUCCGCCGGUUCUACACGCACCACCGCAAGCCGCCCCUCCUCGGCUUCUUCCAUUGCGGCAGCACACAGACCCCGUUCAUGCCCGUCCUGGCCCCCGCUCCCGACCGCAUCACCCCUGGGCGCUUCUCCCUUGGACACUACAGCAACCGCAUCCUGAUUGAUUCUCGCCACGGCCGUGUCCUCGUCAAAGACUUGCAGCAUCAAGAGGUCGUCGUUUGUGAUCCUAUCACCAGCAAACAUCACCGAGUGCCCAUUCCGCCCGAGUUCAACGAAUGCUUCUUUAACGCGACAGUGCUUUGUGCUGCUAGCAACUAG